GAUGAACGCUGGCGGCGUGCCUAAUACAUGCAAGUCGAGCGAACAGACGAGGAGCUUGCUCCUCUGACGUUAGCGGCGGACGGGUGAGUAACACGUGGAUAACCUACCUAUAAGACUGGGAUAACUUCGGGAAACCGGAGCUAAUACCGGAUAAUAUAUUGAACCGCAUGGUUCAAUAGUGAAAGACGGUUUUGCUGUCACUUAUAGAUGGAUCCGCGCCGCAUUAGCUAGUUGGUAAGGUAACGGCUUACCAAGGCAACGAUGCGUAGCCGACCUGAGAGGGUGAUCGGCCACACUGGAACUGAGAAACGGUCCAGACUCCUACGGGAGGCAGCAGUAGGGAAUCUUCCACAAUGGGAGAAAGCCUGACGGAGCAACGCCGCGAGAGUGAUGAAGGUCUUCGGAUCGUAAAACUCUGUUAAUAGGGAAGAACAAAUGUGUAAGUAACUAUGCACGUCUUGACGGUACCUAAUCAGAAAGCCACGGCUAAAUACGUG
rnacentral:rRNA from 1 species